CCUGACUGCAUGGAGCUGGAGGAUGGCAGCAGAAUAACGAUCCGUGUCUCUUCCCGUCUUACUGUAGUUCUGUGUUAUUUCCAUCCCGGUAAUAAUCGAGACGUGAGCUGACGCUUUCUUCUUCUUCUUCUUCUUUCUUCUUCUUUCUUUGUGUUGCCUUGAAUGAGAAGAUGAAGGCUACUAUUCCGCCUCGGGCCCGGAGGGACUCCUGCAGCUGUACUGAACUCUCGGCCGAGCCGGAUCUCUGCUGCCUGCAGCACGACAUGAACGACUGCUACAGCCGCCUCAAGCGCCUCGUGCCCACCAUCCCGCAGCACCGGCGCGUGAGCCGCGUGGAGAUCCUGCAGCACGUCAUCGACUACAUCCUGGACCUGCAGCUGGCGCUCGAGCGCACCGAGCACAGCGGGACGUGGCCGCGGAGCUCCAUCCGCACUCCGCUCUCCGUCCUCAACACGGAGCAGAGGACACCGGUUGUCAAUAAGCAGGAGGACACGAUUCUGUGCCGCUGAAAUGCAGCAUGUCGCAGUGAGAGACUAGGAGCUGUGGACUGCGUAGUGCUAUGCUUGUUGUCUGAGCAGGUUUGUUUUGGGUUGUUGAUCAAGUGUGUUCUCUGUUUUGUCGGUGGCGCCAGUCAGUCUGCAACACGCCGUUCACACACCCCCUCUAUUCAUUCGCUUCUCACAGGUGUGCAGUGAGACCAUCCAAAGCCAAGCCAAUCUUUGGCAGCGAAUCCGACACACACCAGCCCCAACGUGGGAUUGCAAAGCAGUUCUGAAACUAAUGGCUUCUAAACCAUAAUUUAUAAACAUUUCAGUGUUAACUGUCAGUGAUGGCUGAAGCAGCCAGUGUUCUUCUCCGUUCACUCUAUUUUCUGUCAGUGAAGGAAAUGCUGAAUUUGGAUAAAGAUAAAGAAUUUCUCUCUCUCUCUCUCUCUCUCUCUCUCUCUCUCUCUCUCUCUUUCUUAUAUUUCCUCAAUGGUAAGAUUUGGCAUUACCAGGAAAAAGCUUGCCUAAUUUUUACUAAGAAACUUGUAAAGCUUUACAGUACAUUGAAAGUAACAUUGAAAGUUAAAAUGUUGACAUCUAUUGUUAAAAAUAGAUGAUUUGUUUUCAACAGGGAUUUCUCUGCAAUUGAAUUGUUUAAUAUUGUAAAGAAAGAAAAUACAUGUUGACAAAUAAUCUUGUAUAUAAAAAUAGGAUGUUCUAUAAUUGUAUGUGUAAGAAAAUAUCUCUAAGCUAUUGUAAUUAUAAGAUAUUUUUAUUGAAAGGUUUUGUUUUGUAAAUAUUGUGUUUUCCAUAAGUGUAGUGAAGAAAUACAUGAUUGUUCUGCAAAUAAAGAUCUCACAUCAUAAAGAGAAGAUGAGAGCAACAUGGUCUCACGUGUGUUACAGUUUGCACUUCUCAAGACACCACAGUUUACGAGAUGAGCUUUUGCCCUUUUCUUCCAGCUUCAUUUGUGUGAAAUUGAAUGAAAUCCUUCCAUGUUGCCUUUGUUAGUUGAAUGUGUACAAAUUUGUCCUGUGGUUAGGUUGAUGUGAAACUGUUUAAACAGUAUCCUUUAUCCAUACAGUACACUUGAACAGAAUCCAUUAGAGACAGGCAAAAACUACUGCCCUCUUUUACGAAUGAUCAGCCAUCAGUGGCCUUCAUCACUUUUCUGGUGAGCAUCCUGACCCUGACAGUAAUAAUGACAUCACUGCCCCAGUGCAUACAUUCAUAAUCUAAUACGAGAAAAUCCGAAAUGCAGAGUUAAAGCUUGCUCAGGCAAAAGUGGAGCUCUUGAUAUAAAUCCAUUUGUAAUUAAAAUAUAAAGUAUUACAGUGCUGGCUUUCAGAUGCAUUUUGUUACAUUACUUUGUGCACCAUACUUAACAAAAUAUCAUUAUAUUUAAAUAUAAACAGAUUUUCAGAUGCAUGCAGUUACACUAUACCGUUGAUUUCCAUUCUCUUCUUAAAUAUUGUGAUGUCCCUCUCUUGAAUGUAACAAUAGUUUAAAUGUCGAAAUAUUAAUCUACAUAUUUGCGUUUUUACAGGAAUGAACAUGCUAUAUAGCAAUUUCUGCACAUACAGAAGUAAUGCGUUAUAUCCCUCGCAUGUGGCCUUUCAUCAUCAUCAUUUUAACUCUUGGCACUCAAUUAUUUUACUGCUGGAAAUGCACCAUAAGAAUACUUUGCAUUACCUCACUUUGCAUUUGUUUCUGGGAGAACUGCAUGAUUAAUGUAUAGCAUUGGAUUUAAUUUAGUUGAACUGCAUGUUGUGAGCUAUUGGCUGUGCAGAGUCCCCCCCCCCCCCCCCCCCCCAACUGUGCCCUCUAAUGGAAUGAUCUGUUCAGGAUAUGAAUGUUAAGAAAGACAGAUUUUUCCACUGUGCGCUUUUUCUGUCACAUAAAGACAUUAUUGAAUGAAAGACAAUACAAUAAAUGCAUCACUAACAUUAUUAUAAUUAAACAGCCAUGAUAAUCAGA